CAAAAAAUCGAAGUAAAAUUUGUUAUAUUUCUUGGUCAAAGUAAAUGGAACAUAGUUUUGCAUCCAUUCUCAAGUAAAAGAGAGAAACCCUCGAAGAGAGAGAAAGAGAACAGUUCUGAGCCUCGACAAAGAUAAUGAUCUCUACUUUCAAUUUCUGAAAAUGAGAGAUGCAACUCUAUUCUUCAAUCUAUUGAUCCCUUAGAGAUCUUACUUCGGUCUAUUCGGUUUCUAUAACGAUCUCUACUUUUGAUUUUUUUUUUUUUUUUUUUAUUUCAUUGAGGUCAUUUCCCUCGUCGAAAUAGAGAUCUGACCUUACAAUGAAUGUUUUCUAUUCCAGUUAGUGGAUCAAAUAGACUAUAUCGCUUUGACCGAAGCAUGGAAGUUUUCAGAAGUUAAGCACUUAUUACUGUCUUCGAGAUGUGAAUAGCGAAACCACUGAACCUUACUUUCGCUCCAACGUAGCUAUCACCAAAACAACCGAUUUCAAGAUAUAUGCCAAUCGGAUAUGAAAGUUUAUAGUUUAUUAAGGUACCUGAUUGCGCUUCUAGCAACAAUCUAGUUGAAGAUUGUAACAAAAGAAAAAUAUAUGCCUAAAAAGAUGACAAGAAAGAAAAGGAAGCUAGAGAAUGUGAUAAGAAUUGCUUGGAAAAGAACUGGUUUUCUUUUGUGCUGGCAACAGAGAUCAGCAGUUUUGGUGAUCGGUCAAUGGUCCCCAUGAGAAAACCUGAUGUUCUUGCUCUGGAGAUUGUUGAUAUGCGAGAGAAGAGAGGGACAACCUGGAGAUUGUCACUAUUUUUUUUUUUUGUUCCUUAUGUGACAGGAUGCCUAGGCAGCUAAUUCUAUGCCUUUUGGAAGCUCCAUAGUUCCUAUUCAAAAAGAAUAGUUGUCGUUGGCGUGAAGAGGAGAGAGAAAGUGGCUUACUUGGUAGAAGAGACCGUUGUAUUUGCAUUGAUGGUGGGAGUAGCUGGUUGUUUUUAUGUUGUUAUUUUUUACCAAGAUGCCCGUUAUAUGCUCGAGCAGCUUGUUAUUUUUUAUAUUUGUUUAAUGGUGGGAGUAGACGGAACAUCAUUUGGUAGCAAGAAACAGUUGUAUUUGCAUUGAUGGAAAUGACAAACAUCCACAAAAAAAUUGUAUUCUUA